AUCCAUAAUUCUAUAUAUUUAUUAAAUUAGUUGAGAAUAAUUUUGAUAAAGAUUUGAAGAAUCAUUCCAAUAAUAAUUUGGAAAGCACAAUCUCUAUGACACAUAACAGGCAUGAUAAUUCCAUGCCGUUUAAAUGGUUCUGACGCCCAUAUUUGUUGACCACUUCAUCCAGUCGAAGCCGUCCGAAAAGCUAGCAUUCCUCUUAACUUUUUUUUUUGACGUCA
rnacentral:lncRNA from 1 species